CAACAAAUACACCAGGAAAGUGCAGAUGACAACUGACACACCUGGAAAGUUCAGGUGACAACAGAUAUAUUCGGAAAGUACAGGUGACAACAGAUAUAAUCGGAAAGUGUAGGUGACAUAAAUACGAUAGGAAAGUGCAGGUGACAAAAGACACAACUGAUAUGUCCAGAUGAUAACUUAUACAACCGUUAAGUGCAGGCGA
rnacentral:lncRNA from 1 species